GGUGGGGGGACGCUUUGCUUAGCGCCCACGUGGCUGCAGCCUCCGCCAGGCCACCUGUGUGGGCUUUUACUGCCGGAGGCUGCCGCCAGGAAUCCGCCCGAGAGCCGCUUCCUUCUGGGCACUUAGGAACCCGGCCGGUUCCCGGCGGCCCGCGGGUCCCGCUGGGGCCGGAGCGGAACCCGGCACUGCGGGGCCGGGGAGGGUGGUGCGCCACGCCCAGAUUGCUGGGAAGGAUCUGUAGGCGGCGAAUCUACAGCCCCUACACGCGUCUAGCUUUCUGCGAUCGGCCCCUCCGGAACUCCAGCCUCGACACCACAGAACGCGCGCGCGUUUCAAAGUUCCACGCAACUCUGGGCCUAGCCUCGCUUCUUUUCCUGCCGCGUUGUGUGAAUGAAUGGGCUCCUUGGGGCCCCUGAUUGGCUGUGGGAGGACCACCCCAUAGGUCUCUGUGGUCUGAGCAGGCCAAUCGUGGAGCGGGCGGGUGUGCAGUUUUCUGGCGCCCGGGGCGGUGGGGCCCUGCCCUGGCCCCGCCUUGGUCACACCCCCGCUCAUCCCCUGGGUAGUAGGUGCAGGCCAGGCGCUUGCGCCCGCUGCUUUUCUGCCUAGUCACGGUGAAAACCUUUCUUGUGCCACCCUGGUUGGCCGACUGCGGUCUCCUGCCAGCCAGGCCCAGGAGUGAGUCAUGGCAGAGCAGGAAGGAGGGGCCCAGAAGGAAGAGUUUGUUUCCUGAAAGGCCGUGCGUGAACCGCGGGCUACAUGAGGUGGCCGACCGCCUUUGCUGAGUGUGGUGUUCGCCGGCACCCGGGCGCAGCAGCUUUGGAAGUUCUUUCUUGAAGUGCACGCGGUAUCUGAUGUCUGCGGAACCUGAAGCGAGUUAGCAAGCAGUUGUCACAGUGGAAGGAAUGUAGUUCCAGGAACAGAAAAACAAGACUCUUUAUAAACACUGACACAGCCAGUCAGCCUCCAGGUUCAUUCUCAGACCAUCACUGACUCAACUCGAUGAACAUGAGUUUGAGCAAGCUCCUGGAGUUGGUAAUGGACAGGGAAGCCUGGCGUGCUGCAGCCCUUGUGAUUGCAAAGAGUUGAACACAACUGAGCGACCAAACUGAACUGAACUGAUCCCAGAUUUGCUUGUGUGACAUGGGUACAUCUUUCCCUCCUGUCUUUCCUCUCCUGACCACUGGGGCUAAUGAUUCCUGACCUGUUUUUGAGGACCAGUUCUAGAAAUGUCAUUUAAAGGGAUGCACCUAACAUGUGCUGACUGUUGGCUGUGUGUCCACCACUGUGGGAAGAAUACCACUGUCAAGUCCA